rnacentral:ncRNA from 2 species
UUGAAUAAUAAUCUCCGAGCCAGAAUGACCUAAAGAGCAAAUCCAUGGUCGCUGGACAGGACCUAAGGUCCUCAGGGUGUUCCUGGAAACGGGUAUGCCUUCACUAUUGAAAAGGAGGCGGCUAGGCCAGCUA